CCGGCGCACAGGUGAGUAACACGUAUGGAACCUGCCCUAUGCAGGGGGAUAAGCGGAAGAAAUUCCGUCUAAUACCGCAUAACACCUUUAGGAGACAUCUUCUUGGGGUCAAAGGAGGCGACUCCGGCAUAGGAUGGCCAUGCGUCGCAUUAGCUAGUCGGCGGGGUAACGGCCCACCGAGGCGACGAUGCGUAGGGGUUCUGAGAGGAAGGUCCCCCACACUGGUACUGAGACACGGACCAGACUCCUACGGAAGGCAGCAG
rnacentral:rRNA from 1 species